UUCCUGUAGUCGAAUUUAUUG
rnacentral:piRNA from 1 species